rnacentral:rRNA from 1 species
GACGAACGCUGGCGGCGUGCUUAACACAUGCAAGUCGAACGGAAAGGCCCUGCUUUUGUGGGGUGCUCGAGUGGCGAACGGGUGAGUAACACGUGAGUAACCUGCCCUUGACUUUGGGAUAACUUCAGGAAACUGGGGCUAAUACCGGAUAGGAGCUCCUGCUGCAUGGUGGGGGUUGGAAAGUUUCGGCGGUUGGGGAUGUACUCGCGGCUUAUCAGCUUGUUGGUGGGGUAGUGGCUUACCAAGGCUUUGACGGGUAGCCGGCCUGAGAGGGUGAUCGGCCACACGGCAAGUGAGACACGAGCCAGAGUCCUACGUGAGGCAGCAGGAGGGGAUCGGACGCAAUGGGCGCGAGCCGGACGGGGCAACGCCGCGGGAGUCAUGAAGGGCCGCGGAUCGUAAAGAUCGGUUAGUAGGGAAGAACAAAGGUGUAAGUAACUAUGUACGUCUUGACGGGACCGAAUCAGAAAGCCGCAGCGAACUGCGU